GAGUUAUACACAUACAUAGAAGUGUAAAGCCUCAAUUUUUUAUCAAGAUAUUUUUCAGAAAAUCUUAAUCAAUACUUGAAAAAUUGUCUAAAGUACCCAAUCAAUCAAGGUACUUUUCAAGGUACUUUUCAAGGUCUAAAGUACCCAAUUCAUCAAGGUCUAAAGUACCCAAUUCAUCACCCCCUUCUUGAUGGGACAACAAACUUUCAAUGGGAACUUCCUCGUCAGCCAACAAUCUCCCGAUCUUCAUAUAUCCCUUGUCCACCUUUGCUAAUUUCUCCUUACGCAUAUCCCAAAGAAGUAAGCUCGGAUCAAGCACAGUCUGACGCGAAGGACCCGGAGUAUUCUCCUGUAGUAUUACACGUGGCCGAGGACCAUCCUCCAGAUGCAUGUGGUACCAAUCAUUAUUGUUCAUGAUAAUGGUUUUCACCAGGAUAUGCGGCCAAUCCGAUUGACCAGGCUGCACAACAUUUUGAGGGAACGAUUCCGUGAACCCUUCUUCACGACCACUGGAGAUGUCCUCUGACCCAAAACGCAGCCAGCACGACAGACGUGCAAGUGACCGCCCUAUCCGAUUCCGUUCCUCUAUACUAGUAGGAACCUUUAAAAUAACGUUGGAGUUGUUG
rnacentral:misc_RNA from 1 species